ACGGUCAUUUAAGGAAGUGAAGUCGGUAAGUAUCUUAAUUUAGUUCUUUAUUACUCGAUUGUCAUUAUCAUAAUUAUUAAAUGUUAUUUUCAUGUAUUUAUUAGGUCAUGCUAGAUAGCUUGGGCUGACCUCCUACCAUGCUAGAGUUUUGGGAUAGAGCCUACACGCCGAAGGAUUCUAGCAUGUCUCCCGCAUCAUUAGCUAUACAGUAAGACUAAUAGAAAUUAAUGUAUAUAAUUAUUAAUAUUAGGUAGUUUAUAU
rnacentral:lncRNA from 1 species